rnacentral:rRNA from 1 species
UGCAGUCGAACGCACUCGACCUUCGGGUCACAUGAGUGAGUGGCGAACGGGUGAGUAACACGUGAGGAACCUGCCCCGAAGACUGGAAUAACCCGAGGAAACUCGGGCUAAUACCGGAUAUCCCCACCAGGCCGCAUGGCCAGGUGAGGAAAUGCUCCGGCGCUUCGGGAGGGUCUCGCGACCUAUCAGCUAGUUGGUGAGGUAACGGCUCACCAAGGCAUCGACGGGUAGCUGGUCUGAGAGGACGAUCAGCCACACUGGGACUGAGACACGGCCCAGACUUCUACGGGAGGCAGCAGUGGGAAAUCUUGCGCAAUGGGCGAAAGCCUGACGCAGCCACGCCGCGUGAGGGAUGAAGGCUUUCGGGUUGUAAACCUCUUUCAGCAGGGACGAAAAUGACGGUACCUGCAGAAGAAGCUCCGGCCAACUACGUGCCAGCAGCCGCGGUAACACGUAGGGAGCAAGCGUUGUCCGGAUUUAUUGGGCGUAAAGAGCUCGUAGGCGGUUCAGUAAGUCGGGUGUGAAAACUUGAGGCUCAACCUCAAGAGGCCACUCGAUACUGCUGUGACUGGAGUCCGGUAGAGGAGUGUGGAAUUCCUGGUGUAGCGGUGAAAUGCGCAGAUAUCAGGAGGAACACCGACAGCGAAGGCAGCACUCUGGGCCGGCACUGACGCUGAGGAGCGAAAGCAUGGGGAGCAAACAGGAUUAGAUACCCUGGUAGUCCAUG